rnacentral:rRNA from 1 species
CACCGCGGUUAUACGAGAGGCCCAAGUUGAUGAACAUCGGCGUAAAGAGUGGUUAAGCUAAAAUUAAAACUAAAGCCGAACGUCCCCAAAGCUGUUAUACGCACCCGGGGGUAAGAAGUUCAACCACGAAGGUAGCUUUACUAAACCUGAACCCACGAAAGCUACGGCA